rnacentral:rRNA from 1 species
AUGCUCCAGCUCGCCGGCGCGGCGUCGGCGGCGAUGAUGGUCAGCCCGGUGGUGUACGAGGUGAGCUUGAAGCUGAGCGCCUGGCCGCCGAGCUGCCCGAACGCCUGGUACGAGGCGCCCCAGUUGUGGCUCAUGCUCAGCCACCCCAUGCCGCCAUUGCCCUUCACCCACAUCUCCCCGACGUCGCCGGCGCCGCCGACGUUGGUGACGUACACCAGCAGCCAGUGCGGGUUCCCCUGGAACGCGAACCGGAUCCCGCCCUUGCGCAUGCACGGCACCCUGCGGUACAUGACGGGGACGAUGCCCGCAUGCCAGUCGGCCAUCUUCUUGAAGGCCGGGAUGGCGAGGUCGAAGUGGGUGCGCGGCGGGUUGCACCAGCCGCCGUUGUUGGUGUCCUGCGCCCAGUUGGGCGGGCACAGGUUGGUCGCGGUCACCGUGAUCACCGGCGAGCCCCUGUAG